rnacentral:rRNA from 1 species
AGUGAACGCUGGCGGUAGGCCUAACACAUGCAAGUCGAACGGCAGCACAGUAAGAGCUUGCUCUUACGGGUGGCGAGUGGCGGACGGGUGAGGAAUACAUCGGAAUCUACUUUUUCGUGGGGGAUAACGUAGGGAAACUUACGCUAAUGCCGCAUACGACCUACGGGUGAAAGCAGGGGAUCUUCGGACCUUGCGCGAUUGAAUGAGCCGAUGUCGGAUUAGCUAGUUGGCGGGGUAAAAGCCCACCAAGGCGACGAUCCGUAGCUGGUCUGAGAGGAUGAUCAGCCACACUGGAACUGAGACACGGUCCAGACUCCUACGGGAGGCAGCAGUGGGGAAUAUUGGACAAUGGGCGCAAGCCUGAUCCAGCCAUACCGCGUGGGUGAAGAAGGCCUUCGGGUUGUAAAGCCCUUUUGUUGGGAAAGAAAAGCAGCAGGUUAAUACCCCGCUGUUCUGACGGUACCCAAAGAAUAAGCACCGGCUAACUUCGUG